rnacentral:rRNA from 1 species
CGGGUGAGUAACACGUGAGUAACCUGCCCUUGACUUUGGGAUAACUUCAGGAAACUGGGGCUAAUACCGGAUAGGAGCUCCUGCUGCAUAGUGGGGGUUGGAAAGUUUCGGCGGUUGGGGAUGGACUCGCGGCUUAUCAGCUUGUUGGUGGGGUGAUGGCCUACCAAGGCGACGACGGGUAGCCGGCCUGAGAGGGUGAUCGGCCACAUUGGGACUGAGAUACGGCCCAG